CGCAGCCACUUCCGCCAGAAGUUGAAGCCGCUCCUCCGUCAGCUUUUAGAUUAUUUCCGCCGGCGUUUCUUCUGCUCCAAAGCGCGCCUCUUAGUGGCCAGAAGGAAACAAAACAGAGGCUUCCUACUCCCGCCCGUGAAUUUAUAAAUAGCAAUGAGACUACAUAAAGCAGCUCUCGUUCAAUGGGAUUUACUUUCCUCCCACAAUUCUGAGGUGGUGCAUUUUUUACAAAUGGAAGGCAAAACGCUCCACCAGUAAAAAGAUUACAACUCAUGCUGGUCUGGAACUGAACCCACAAUAUCUCCAAGGCCACAGCGACUUGGCUGGGUGCCUGUCGGCUGUGGAAGGACAAACCUCAGGCGGACACGCGAGGCACGUUCCCGGGACCAGCCACCAAGGCCCUUACCUUUCACGAGGAUGUCCUCCGUCAGCGGGAGG